UGGGGAAUCUUAGACAAUGGGGGCAACCCUGAUCUAGCCAUGCCGCGUGAGUGAUGAAGGCCUUAGGGUUGUAAAGCUCUUUCAGCUGGGAAGAUAAUGACGGUACCAGCAGAAGAAGCCCCGGCUAACUCCGUGCCAGCAGCCGCGGUAAUACGGAGGGGGCUAGCGUUGUUCGGAAUUACUGGGCGUAAAGCGCACGUAGGCGGACUGGAAAGUUGGGGGUGAAAUCCCGGGGCUCAACCUCGGAACUGCCUUCAAAACUAUCAGUCUGGAGUUCGAGAGAGGUGAGUGGAAUUCCGAGUGUAGAGGUGAAAUUCGUAGAUAUUCGGAAGAACACCAGUGGCGAAGGCGGCUCACUGGCUCGAUACUGACGCUGAGGUGCGAAAGCGUGGGGAGCAAACA
rnacentral:rRNA from 1 species